UCGGAGCUGCCUGGUGCGUCAGGCGAAUCAACCCCCGGGCCGAUAAGCAUUCCUUAGGGAACUGGCUCUGUCGUGGCCCUGGUCACGUUACCCGGUGCCCACCUGCACUUGCAGGUCUAGGAGGGCUGAAAAAGGCCAACGGCUAUGGCGGCUCCACA
rnacentral:other from 1 species